UGGGGAAUAUUGCACAAUGGGCGAAAGCCUGAUGCAGCAACGCCGCGUGAGUGAUGAAGGCCUUCGGGUUGUAAAGCUCUGUCUUUUGGGACGAUAAUGACGGUACCAAAGGAGGAAGCCACGGCUAACUACGUGCCAGCAGCCGCGGUAAUACGUAGGUGGCAAGCGUUGUCCGGAUUUACUGGGCGUAAAGGAUGCGUAGGCGGAUUUUUAAGUGAGAUGUGAAAUACCCGGGCUUAACUUGGGUGCUGCAUUUCAAACUGGGAAUCUAGAGUGCGGGAGAGGAGAAUGGAAUUCCUAGUGUAGCGGUGAAAUGGCGUAGAGAUUAGGAAGAACACCAGUGGCGAAGGCGAUUCUCUGGACCGUAACUGACGCUGAGGCAUGAAAGCGUGGGUAGCAAACAGGAUUAGAUACCCUGGUAGUCCACGCCGUAAACGAUGAGUACUAGGUGUAGGAGGUAUCGACCCCUUCUGUGCCGCAGUUAACACAAUAAGUACUCCGCCU
rnacentral:rRNA from 1 species